GAAAUGCGAUAAGUAAUGUGAAUUGCAGAAUUCAGUGAAUCAUCGAAUCUUUGAACGCACAUUGCGCCCGCCAGUAUUCUGGCGGGCAUGCCUGUUCGAGCGUCAUUUCAACCAUCAAGCCCCCGGCUUGUGUUGGGGACCUGCGGCUGCCCGCAGGCCCUGAAAAACAGUGGCGGGCUCGCUGUCACACCGAGCGUAGUAGCAUACAUUCUCGCUCAGGGCGUGCUGCGGGUUCCGGCCGUUAAACGACCUUCAUAACCCAAUGUUGACCUCGGAUCAGGUAGGAAGACCCGCUGAACUUAAGC
rnacentral:misc_RNA from 1 species